ensembl:lncRNA
AGAAGAAGAAGAAGAAGAAGAAGAAGAAGAAGAAGAAGAAGAAGAAGAAGAAGCAGCAGUAGUAGAAGCACCAACUCACCUCAUGGAUGCUCCUCCCCAUGUAGCUAAUGUACUGCAGGAACACAGGGAAUCGAGAGGAACUCAAUGCAUCGUUUCCGUUGGAUACCUGCCCACAAGCGCUUGUGUGUAUGGAUUUACUUGAACUGUAUGAUAGGAUAAUCCCACUGGUUUACACUCAACAGAGAGUGCUUUCCAAUAAUGACUUUUCAAAGAGACAUAUAUUUUGCAACAGGCAGGCGGGCCAAGCUUUAACCAGACCGGUACCAGGCCUCUCCAAAGCUGUAGAUGAUCAAUCAGCGCUAUAUGUUCACAACCACCACCUCAAACACCACCCUUCCCCCCAUCCCCACCCCAUCCUGCCCAGCCAUCAGUCAUCCAGGGACGUCCCAGCAUAUGUGCUCUUGCUUAUUGUCGCCCCAUCCCUCAUCCUUCACAGCAAACACUGAGACUUAUGGUUUCUUUCCUUCUUUGCCUUUAUUCCUCUAGAUGUCUCCAGUCAAUGUACAUCUACAUUACAUUUGCUCUCUUUGGCUGUGAUUUCCAGAACGAUUUAACGACGGGAUAGGAGCCAUCAUAAGGAAUUAGCUUCAAAUGUUUGCAGGAUGUCUUGGGGCUUUGAAUGAAGAUGUGUUAAUCUUGGUUUUUCCACACUUUUUAUCACAAAUAUCCUAUCUGAACCAAUACAUUUUGAAUGUUGGAAUAAUAGGGUGGUAUCAUAGGAUCUGACUUGAUUUAAAGAGUGAAUCAUUAUCGGAAAUUCCUAGUCUUUUCUCUACUCUAGGCUAUCCCAUAAGGACAUGUGAAAAAGCACUGACAAAUGACUGCUUGUGCAAAUCCAAUUUAUGAUGCCACUACAGGGUAGUGUAUUGUCUCCAUGUGUGUAAUGCCUCAUCCCACUGCAAUAAAAAUGAAACAAAAGUCAACGCUUUUCCCAAAAGGGUGAUCCGUG